rnacentral:lncRNA from 1 species
UCAACAGGAAUUGGUCUUGAUGGUGUUUGCUCUUCUUGGAUAGUGAAAUCAGUAAUUUCAGAUUCUGGAAUCUUGGCUCUCUUUGGCUUGUGUGCCCUUCUUUUGAAUCUAGCUGGUUUUUGUUGAGGACUAGACUGAGCAGGUUCAUUGGUUGUUGUAGGUGUAGGUUCAGAGUUUACAUCUUGUGCAGGUUCAAGAUCAUCAAAGUCAUAUGCUGCAACAAGCCUUCUUCUUUUCUUCUGCUUUGGAGGAGAAGCAGCUUCAGAGUUUACUGGGACAUCAGAGUUUGUCUGUAGAACUUGUGUAUC